GUGCAGGCUGCGAGCAGCGCUGCCUCGGUGCACGUCCUGCCCGCCUCCGUGCUCGCCACCCGCGCAGCGGCGGGSAGCUAAACGCCGAGCUGCCCCCGUCGGUGCCUGGGGCCCUCUCCGAGCUGGGCUGCGGCUGGGCGUCCUCCUCUCGGCCUGGCAGCCCCRGCUGCCUGGGGGGAGGCCGUCCGCCCCGCAGCUCUCCCCUUGCACUUGCUUUACCUCUGGUUCAGAGCUAGAAAAUAGUGRCUGCAGCUCCUAAUUUGCCGGGGAAUGGCUUCACGGCAGCCUGUUCCUGACGCUGCCAUCACCUAGAGACGAUGGCACAGGUCGGAGCAUGUUACCGACUGCUAGAAAGAAAACCGGCGCUGCCCUCAAACCUUGCAAGCAAAAAGCUGUGCUUUGGGCUGGUUUGCUGGCACAGAGCGUGGUUUCUGCUUCGUUAGCAAGCUUUGGUCAGGGUUCGUCCUGCGCUGCUGUUGCAGSCUGGUAGGUGGCUGUGUUAGAUGUUAAAAAUAUUGAAGAAUAUGCAGAAACUGAGAGCUGCUGAUAAAACCAAAUUUGCCAGAGUCUGCAGGCGGCACAGAAUGGRGGCCUAGGAGGAAUGUGCAAGAUGUUUUCGUGAAUGCUAAUUACUUCCAGAYGCACGGUCCUUGCAGCUACAGAGGAAAUAUUAGUUGUUCGUGAAUAUACUUCGUUCCAUCCUUAACAGCGUUGCCGGUGGGAGCGAAGCCUCCACCAGUGGCUGCUGCUCUCGACGGCGAYGCGCUCGGCCGCUGCUUUGGACGUGCAGCUGACGGAAGCCGACGCUCCCGGUGUUUUGCACUGAAGGGAAGUUUGCUCGAAGCGGCAAAUUCCAAUUUUGUUAUCCCAGCGCGGUCCAGAGAAAAUCUGGGAUUUAGCGGUCGUGCCGCUAAAAUCACCGGACUGACUCCGMAUCGUGCCUGGGGGAAGGAGACUCRCCGGCCUCCCGUCRCUUCGCCKGGGCCCCGAGCCGCGGUGCCCACUYGGCACAGCUCCAUUUCUGCACRUGCGAUUUCAGAAGAAGCAGCUGCCUCUCGGCAGCAUCCAGGUUUGUCUCUGCUCCAGGCUCUGGGACUGCAGAAUGCACCCGCCUGAGCAUGCUGGCCCCGGGAGUGGACUGCGGUGGACGUUCAAGUGAUUAAGACAUUGGUGCCAGAGACCCUUUCCCUGUUUGUCCUCUGAAGCCAACAGUGCAGGGCUCGGGAGAGGCACAGGAAAGAAGUUUGCUUCCACCAAGGUAAUGCAGGAGGGAGAGAGAGGUGAAGUGGUCUCCUUUCAGGUUCGARCUAGCUGAGUCUCCACUCACCUGAGUUGCCAUUGAAAACUUGAACCCUUGCUAAAAGUUUCAAGAGAAAGGGGUGAGUUGGAAGGGAAGGUUUAAGUCUAGAAACACCAGGAAACCUGCCAUUUUUGCACAUUCCUAG
rnacentral:lncRNA from 1 species